CUCAGCUUAAAUAUUUUUGUUUUCUGUGCAGUCUUCCCUGCCUCCCAGACUAGAUCCUGGGCUCUACCUGCGACACAUGUAACAGAGCUCAUGCUGGCAGCUACUGGGACAUCUUUCUCUGUGACUGGCGCUGAGUCUUGGAUCCAGGC
rnacentral:lncRNA from 1 species